AGCCUGUGGUUGGACUAGGAAGCAGGCCAACUUUUCAAGAUUGAUCAUGGAGAUGACUGAGGCAUAAGGACAGCCUGAAUAUUGAUGGGAACAGUGAAAUUAACAUUACUUAAACUUUGUCUGGGAUUGCAUUUCUACAGCCAGGUCGUUGAUAUAAAUAAAAGAUAAUGACACUUCUGUGGAAAGCUUUUUUUUAAGAGAUAUUUUAUUCCAUCCUUUCUCAUCUUACUAAA